rnacentral:rRNA from 1 species
GACGAACGCUGGCGGCGUGCCUAAUACAUGCAAGUUGAGCGAUGAAGAUUGGUGCUUGCACCAAUUUGAAGAGCAGCGAACGGGUGAGUAACGCGUGGGGAAUCUGCCUUUGAGCGGGGGACAACAUUUGGAAACGAAUGCUAAUACCGCAUAACAACUUUAAACAUAAGUUUUAAGUCUGAAAGAUGCAAUUGCAUCACUCAAAGAUGAUCCCGCGUUGUAUUAGCUAGUUGGUGAGGUAAAGGCUCACCAAGGCGAUGAUACAUAGCCGACCUGAGAGGGUGAUCGGCCACAUUGGGACUGAGACACGGCCCAAACUCCUACGGGAGGCAGCAGUAGGGAAUCUUCGGCAAUGGACGAAAGUCUGACCGAGCAACGCCGCGGGAGUGAAGAAGGUUUUCGGAUCGUAAAACUCUGUUGGUAGAGAAGAACGUUGGUGAGAGUGGAAAGCUCAUCAAGUGACGGUAACUACCCAGAAAGGGACGGCUAACUACGUG